CCUGUAGGUAGGUGGGUGGCAGUUCACCAUGAUGAAGGCCUGUAGGUAGGUGGGUGGCAGUUCACCAUGAUGAAGGCCUGUAGGUAGGUGGUGGCAGUUCACCAUGAUGAAGGCCUGUAGGUAGUGGGUAGCAGUUCACCAUGAUGAAGGCCUGUGGUAGGUGGUGCAGUUCACCAUGAUGAAGCCUGUAGGUAGUAGGUGGCAGUUCACCAUGAUGAAGGCCUGUAGGUGUGUGGCAGUUCACCAUGAUGAAGGCCUGUAGGUAGGAGCAGUUCACCAUAUUAAGGCCUGUAGGUAGGUAGCAUUCACCAUGAUGAAGGCCUGUAGGUAGGUAGCAGUUCACCAUUGAUGAAGGCCUGUAGGUGGGUAGCAGUUCACCAUGAUGAAGGCCUGUAGGUAGGUGGCAGUUCACCAUG